CCUACGGGAGGCAGCAGUGAGGAAUAUUGGUCAAUGGGCGCGAGCCUGAACCAGCCAAGUAGCGUGAAGGAUGACUGCCCUACGGGCUGUAAACUUCUUUUAUAAAGGAAUUAAGUGAGGCACGUGUGCCUUUUUGUAUGUAUUUUAUGAAUAAGGCUCGGCUAACUCCGUGCCAGCAGCCGCGUUAAUACGGAGGAUCUGAGCGUUAUCCGGAUUUAUUGGGUUUAAAGGGUGCGUAGUUGGGUUGUUAAGUCAGUUGUGAAAGUUUGAGGCUCAACCGUAAAAUUGCAAUUGAUACUGGCAGUCUUGAGUACAGUAGAGGGAGGCGGAAUUCGUGGUGUAGCGGUGAAAUGCUUAGAUAGCACGAAGAACUCCGAUUGCGAAGGCAGCUUACUAAACUGCCACUGACAUUGAUGCUCGAAAGUGUGGGUAUCAAACAGGAUUAGAUACCCCUGUAGUC
rnacentral:rRNA from 1 species